CUUCAUGGCGGCUAUGUGCGGGCAGACUUCGGUCUGGCCGGUUUCCUAUUUUUCCGGUUUCUCACCCCGCACAUAGCUGCCACCCAC
rnacentral:antisense_RNA from 1 species